rnacentral:rRNA from 1 species
UUGGAGGUAUAGCCUGCCCCCUGAGUCUUUAAAUGGCCGCGGUAGCCUGACCGUGCAAAGGUAGCAUAAUAAUUAGUUUUUUAAUUGAUAGCUGGAAUGAAAGGCUGGACGAGGGAAAUACUGUCUCUAUUUAAUUUAAUUAGAAUUUUAUUUUUAAGUAAGAAAGCUUAAAUGAAUUUGAAAGACGAGAAGACCCUAUAGAAUUUUAUAUUUAUUUUAAUGUUGGGGUGUGAGGGAUAGUUAGCUUUGGCAUUAUUAGACAUAUUUUAUUGGGGCGAUAGAAAAAUUUAAAUAACUUUUUUUAAAUUUAUCCAUUAAUUUAUGAGUAAGUGAUCCAUUAUUUAUGAUUAUAAGAUUAAAUUACCUUAGGGAUAACAGCGUAAUCUUUUUUAAGAGUUCUUAUCGAAAGAAGGGAUUGCGACCUCGAUGUUGGAUUAAAAU